GGAAAUGGAGAAAGCUCAUCUUCCUCUACAAACAUUCCUAGUAUCCCGGUUCAAGCUGGGUACGAGGCCUUCUUAUCGUCCCGUUCAACAAGAAUAUCAAAGAGUGAGUUGAGGAACUACUUAGAGGAUGCGGUUGCCCCUCGCGACAAGGCUCUUGAUCUUCUUGGUUGGUGGAAAGAGAAUGCUCCAAGGUACCCAAUGUUGGCCAAGAUAGCCAAGAGGUUCAUUACUAUCCCGGCUACCUCCGUGUCUUCGGAAUCUACCUUCAGCACGACCGGAAGGAUUUUAGGUAUGUCAACUCAUACUAUUGAACUUUGGAUAUAA
rnacentral:rRNA from 1 species